rnacentral:lncRNA from 1 species
AAAAAGCAAAAAGAAUACCUACUAGAGCAAGUCCCUUGUCGGGGACAAGAAAAAAAUUAUGAUCUCAGGUAAUGUGUUAUGCCGCCAGAGCUCAUUGCUGGAAGCGGCGGAGCACAAACCACCAUUCUCUCUUUCUCAACCUCCAGAUUCUAAAUUCAUCAAUAAUUUUCUCAAAUUCGCACUCUACAUCUCAAUCCUAAUACAAA